UCUGGGUUUUGCGGAGAUGAUCGGGGGUUGAAGCCCAGGUCGUAGCCUUGCUUGCGUGUUGGUGGUCUAGCGUUGAUCAUCUCUAUUCUAUGGUUUGGUUUUCGUAGAUUGAUGUUCUUCGGAUUUUGGUGAUCAACUUCAGGUGUAGCUACCAAUGAGGCAGAGGUCUGUUUGUGGAACUUGCGCUUAUUGGAAUUUGGGUGUUUUAGAAAUUGGAAUCUACCAAAGAAAUGAGGAUUAUUGACAAUUGCGGCUUCCUUCAGGUGGCAGAGGGUUCAUUCAUGGUUGGAGUAAUCUUCAGUACCUCUAUGGUUCGGUGGGAAAUCACUGUUGAUUUUGAUGGGUUGGAUGAGGUGUUGCUUCGUGGAUGAUCUUAAAUGGAAAGGGGGGAGUCUCAUACUACUGUGAACAUAUGGUUGUACACACAUGCAUGGCCAAAAUCUGUCAAUGGGGUUGAUUACUACUGGAAAAGGGUUAUAUAAACAAAGCAUGGUUUCAAGGGUUCAGUGGUUGGAGUCAUCUUCAGGGUUGUUAUGGUCUGGGGUAUAAAUUCAUUGUUGAUGCUUUUUGAGGGUGUUGCUCUGGAUGAUCUUAAGAUGGAAAGGAAGCGAGUCCUAUACAACCAUGAACUUAAUAUGAAAUGAGAGAUUUGUUUUGGGAGAAUCUGGAAAUAACUGAUCGUUUUUACCUCCGGAAGUAACUCUGUUCUGUCAGAAUAUGGGUCUUAUUAUCUCUUCAAGUUUCUGGUAUGCAAUGUGUCAGAAGUUGUCUUAUGAACUUUGUUCUCAGUGUCUGCAAAAGGGUGUUUUAUGAAUAGACAAAAUCUGCUAUCAUUACAACCAGCCGUCUUUUGUAUUUCGAUACAUUUGUUGUUGUGUUGUAUGCCUUUAC